GUGAUUGGCUUCUUGAAGCAUAGUGGGGCAUUAUGGCAAAGGAAUGAACAACUACUAAUGGGCCGUAUAUGGGCUCGAUAGAGUAAAUUAGAAUUUGGUUUGGGUCUUGUUUAUUAUAUAUAUAGCAUCGUCUUCUUCCUUGUUCUCUUCUCUUCUCUUCAGCGAUUACUCCACGUACGAUUCUGGGAAUUCAAAACCGAUAAGCUCACCGGGUUGAACAAGGAGCUAAAGUGGAGUUACCCUUCUGGCUUGCUCAUGAGUUGCAUUUGAGACAAGCUGUCUCCAUCAACCUUCCUGCCUGUUUCGACCACAAGACGAGGCUGGAAAUACAGGCUGAUGCAGCGUGUGUUGAUCUUAGAUCUCGAUGUCCUUACUUCUACGAGUUCGGUUGCAAGCUACAGCCAUUACCCACAUCCCAAGUUUAAUAAGGCGCACAUGAUGAUAGU